rnacentral:rRNA from 1 species
AUCUCCUUUGGUAGCAAUACCGAAGGAAGUCUAGCGGCGAACGGGUGCGUAACACGUGGACAAUCUGCCUUAAAGUGGGGGAUAGCUCGGCGAAAGCCGAAUUAAUACCGCAUGUGAUCAGCCAAGACAUCUUGGCGAAAUUAAAGACGGCGCAAGCUGUCGCUUUUUGAGGAGUCCGCGGCCUAUCAGCUAGUUGGUGAGGUAACGGCUCACCAAGGCUUUGACGGGUAGCUGGUCUGAGAGGACGACCAGCCACACUGGAACUGAGACACGGUCCAGACACCUACGGGUGGCAGCAGUCGAGAAUUUUUCUCAAUGGGGGAAACCCUGAAGGAGCGACGCCGCGUGGAGGAUGAAGGUCUUCGGGUUGUAAACUCCUGUCAUUUGGGAACAAGUCGUACGUAGUAACUAUACGUGCGUUGAUAGUACCAGAAGAGGAAGAGACGGCUAACUCUGUGCCAGCAGCCGCGGUAAUACAGAGGUCUCAAGCGUUGUUCGGAUUCAUUGGGCGUAAAGGGUGCGUAGGUGGCGCCGUAAGUCAGGUGUGAAAUUUCGGAGCUUAACUCCGAAACUGCAUUUGAUACUGCGGUGCUUGAGGACUGGAGAGGAGACUGGAAUUUACGGUGUAGCAGUGAAAUGCGUAGAGAUCGUAAGGAAGACCAGUGGCGAAGGCGGGUCUCUGGACAGUUCCUGACACUGAGGCACGAAGGCCAGGGGAGCAAACGGGAUUAGAUACCCCGGUAGUCCUGGCAGUAAACGGUGCACGUUUGGUGUGGGAGGAUUCGACCCCUUCUGCGCCGGAGCUAACGCGUUAAACGUG